AAUUUCGCCUUAAUUUCAAUCAAACUGAACUCAAGUGCGCAGAGGAAUAGCAUACAUUAGCAUCAAUAAUAUCAGUUAAAGCACGCGCCGCUCAGUGCUUCUGACUCGGAACCACUAUAGCCUAAUUUCACAAUUUUUUCAAUUUUUACAUCGAAAAAAGGUGAACCACAAGCGUAUGUUUACGCACGAACAGCAACACAGUUCGGAACCCGUCAUGCUGACCUUAUGCGGGGAGCAAGUUCAAGAGAGAGGGUCACUGGUCAGCAAUCAGUGUCUCUCGCACAAUCAGUCCUUCAUUGCCGAGUCGCAAUUAUCAAUUCACAGUUACGAAUUACGAUCACACCCGAAUUCAAACACCGCGAGCUUCGUUGUUUUCAAACGGGUUUCCAGCAUUGAUAUUUUUGUUCGCGCUGCGUGUAGGUCAGUGAGGUUCGGGUGUUUUAGUUGGUGGAAUUAUUCGAUUGGACUUGUUUAAGAUGCAGUUAAAUGCCGCAUUGGCGUUGGUGCUCUUGGCGGCAGUAUUGAGGGACGUGGAGAGUAGAACCGCCAGCAGAGGGCAGCACAGACAUCGCACACGAACGGACCACGAUGUAGGUGGAACCAACACCCGCAGGAACGGGGGCGGGGAAGGGGGCCAGGGGGGCAACCGACGAUGGGACUCUGGCUCGGACAGUGAUCUCGGAAACUCCAACUUCAACCUAAAUCAGAAUCGGCCCGGAAGUGACUUCUCAGACUUCGGCGACGCGUCUCGACCUUUCGGUAAUCAAAAUCGACCGGGCUCUAACAACUUCGGCAAUCAGAAUCAACCUUCAGGCACCAAUUUCAACCAGUUCGGCCAGAACCGACCAGGAAACAAUGACUUUGGCAACCAAAAUCUGCCCUCAGGCACCAAUUUCAAUCAAAACCGACCCGGAAGCAACAACUUCGGCAACCAAAACCUGCCCUCGGGCACCAAUUCCAAUCAAUUCGGUCAGAACCAACCAGGAAGCAACGAUUUUAGCAAUCAGAACCUGCCUUCAGGCACCAACUCUAACCAGUUCGGCCAGAACCGACCGGGCAGCAGUGACUUCGGUAACCAAAACCAACCGUCAGGUCAGACAUGGAUAAUUUAUGAAUUUAUUCUUGUAAAAUUUUACGAAUUUUUGUAGGUGUUGUAAUUUUGAAAUUCAAGAAAUCUUUGACGCACGUUUGUGCAAUAUCGUACGUCAUAGGCAGAAGAACUACCAUUUUAAAAACUAUGUUUUAAAAUCUUCGCACCAUGUGGCAGUUCCUUCGAAAAUACGAGCAAAAUGAAAGGCAUCAAGGCUACGCAUAUUUCGCUUUUUUUAUUACUUAUCGAUGACCGAAGAGAAAAAUCACGUAUCUACGUCUGCAGCGUUGCAGACCACCCUUGGCACUUGACUUUUUCUUGGGAAAACUAUUCAACGUAAUUUCUUGAAAACUUCCUUGAUUUUGCAUCUCUGUUAGAAGAGCACUCUGUUAAAAUCUUAACAUACAUAUAAAGUUGGUUUGCGGCCCUUCGUAAUAUAAAAUAGUAGCGGAAAUUUUGAAACACCGCUGUGGAAAUACGCCAUUUCGCACUUUGGUCAUCGUUCAUGUGUAGA
rnacentral:lncRNA from 1 species